rnacentral:rRNA from 8 species
AAGGAGGGCGCUUACCACGGUAGGAUUCGUGACUGGGGUGAAGUCGUAACAAGGUAGCCGUAUCGGAAGGUGCGGCUGGAUCACCUCCUUUCUAGA